ACUGCCUGAUGGAGGGGGAUAACUACUGGAAACGGUAGCUAAUACCGCAUAACGUCGCAAGACCAAAGAGGGGGACCUUCGGGCCUCUUGCCAUCAGAUGUGCCCAGAUGGGAUUAGCUAGUAGGUGGGGUAACGGCUCACCUAGGCGACGAUCCCUAGCUGGUCUGAGAGGAUGACCAGCCACACUGGAACUGAAACACGGUCCAGACUCCUACGGGAGGCAGCAGUGGGGAAUAUUGCACAAUGGGCGCAAGCCUGAUGCAGCCAUGCCGCGUGUAUGAAGAAGGCCUUCGGGUUGUAAAGUACUUUCAGCGGGGAGGAAGGUGUUGUGGUUAAUAACCGCAGCAAUUGACGUUACCCGCAGAAGAAGCACCGGCUAACUCCGUGCCAGCAGCCGCGGUAAUACGGAGGGUGCAAGCGUUAAUCGGAAUUACUGGGCGUAAAGCGCACGCAGGCGGUCUGUCAAGUCGGAUGUGAAAUCCCCGGGCUCAACCUGGGAACUGCAUUCGAAACUGGCAGGCUGGAGUCUUGUAGAGGGGGGUAGAAUUCCAGGUGUAGCGGUGAAAUGCGUAGAGAUCUGGAGGAAUACCGGUGGCGAAGGCGGCCCCCUGGACAAAGACUGACGCUCAGGUGCGAAAGCGUGGGGAGCAAACAGGAUUAGAUACCCUGGUAGUCCACGCCGUAAACGAUGUCGAUUUGGAGGUUGUGCCCUUGAGGCGUGGCUUCCGGAGCUAACGCGUUAAAUCGACCGCCUGGGGAGUACGGCCGCAAGGUUAAAACUCAAAUGAAUUGACGGGGGCCCGCACAAGCGGUGGAGCAUGUGGUUUAAUUCGAUGCAACGCGAAGAACCUUACCUGGUCUUGACAUCCACAGAACUUUCCAGAGAUGGAUUGGUGCCUUCGGGAACUGUGAGACAGGUGCUGCAUGGCUGUCGUCAGCUCCUGUUGUGAAAUGUUGGGUUAAGUCCCGCAACAAGCGCAACCCUUAUCCUUUGUUGCCAGCGGUCAGGCCGGGAACUCAAAGGAGACUGCCAGUGAUAAACUGGAGGAAGGUGGGGAUGACGUCAAGUCAUCAUGGCCCUUCACGACCAGGGCUACACACGUGCUACAAUGGCGCAUACAAAGAGAAGCGACCUCGCGAGAGCAAGCGGACCUCAUAAAGUGCGUCGUAGUCCGGAUUGGAGUCUGCAACUCGACUCCAUGAAGUCGGAAUCGCUAGUAAUCGUAGAUCAGAAUGCUACGGUGAAUACGUUCCCGG
rnacentral:rRNA from 1 species